rnacentral:lncRNA from 1 species
UUUUUUUUAAUUGGUCAAUGCUUUUUUUCUUUUUGUCCUUUUUUUGUUACGGUUUACCUUUUUUUUCUUCUUUAUUUCAAAGAACAAUUGAUCUUUUUUUUAAAUACUAUCAAAAUAAAAAACAACCAAUAAUUAUAAAAAUUGAAUUAUUAUUGUAUAAAAGACUUUUUUUUUCAAAUGCAUAUUUGAUAUCAAAUACAUAAAUACAUAUUUUAUAUAAAUAAUGGUACAACUUAUAUACAUAUUGUAAUAAUAAUUGUAUAGUUUCUAUACACAUCCUAUAUAAUAUUUAGCUAUAGUAAUUAUUUAGAUAACAAUAUUUAUGCAGUUUAUAUACAUCCUAUGUAUAUACAUACUUUAUACAACAAUGAUACAAAUUGUAGACACAUAAUUUUGUCCAUCCGAAAGAUUAAUUUUCACCUAUUUACCUUAUUUUACCGUCCCCAACCAUGUAAUUAUUCCUCAUAAAAGAAUAAAAAUAACAGACUCCCUAAUAAAUAUUAUCCUAUCCUAACCAACUUUAUACCUCAUUCUAACAACCUACCCCACCUCACCCCACACCCUACCUUACCUCACCCCUAUACCCCUAGGCUCUCCCCUCUCUCACGGAUUCCACACUAUAGAUGCAUACACCUCACAUUUUAUCCCUUUUCCAAUAAUAUACACACCCAGAAUACACAAAGGGGCACACACAAUAACAAUUGAAGAAUAGAUACUCACUGGAAUCACACCAAAGGAGGGGCCCACGGGAAUUGACCACCUCAUAAGCACACACUCUCACAACCAUUAUAUUCUCCAUCAUAUUUUCCACAAAGGGAUUCACACAACAAUGGAGAAUAAUUACACACAGCAAUACUACACCCUCCUAAUUUUUGCACACCACUCGCACACACAGCCACACACCCAAUCAAAAAAGGGAGAGAGAGAUUAGAGAGAGAUAGACGAAGGGAGUAGCUGAGUGAUUGAGCGAGAAAAACAUAGGGGAAAAGAGAGAUCGAUUUGACCAAGGAAACUAGUGAAGAAGCAGCGAAACCAGAUCUGUUCCGGCCGUUUGUCAUUCUUUCCCAGUAAAAUUUUCGUCAGAAUCGAUUCUGGCUCGUCUAAUUGAUCCAAACAGACUCAAAAUCUCUAAAAUCUUUUCAGUUUCUUGAUUUUCAGGCAAAUCUGAUCAGAAUCUGACCCAUUUCUUUGGUUUUUUUUGUCGUCAUCUGAGAUCGCCGGAGCUCCGAUACUGCAAAACAGUAAUUCCGACUUAAGUUAGUUUCAAAAACCACCUAGAAAACAAAAGUUCCAGCCUACAAUGGUACCCCGUCGUUGGAAAGACCAUCGGUUUUGAGCAAAACGGGGUUUAGGGUCAAAACUUAUGGUUCGGAGUUCGUAUUGAGUUUAUUUAGCUGGUUUCAAGUCUGUUGGGGUUUUAUUUUUCGAUACCGGGUCGAGUUCGAUCGUUGUUGAGGUUUGGUUUUUGGAUUUUGGUCGUGGUUGUAGUCGGAAAAGCAAUUUCAAUUAAAAAGCAACAUUAAGGUUCAAUUCUCGUUCUCUGUUAAUUCCUAAUUGGUUGAUAUUUUUGCUUGUUAAAUUCAUUACGUGUGGAUUUUGUUUUGUUGAUGUUGAUAUAUUUUGGAUCACCGUGAAUGAUUGUUGAUAUUGAUUUGUUGAUUCUUUAUCGAAAUUGGUUAAUCAUGUGGUUGAAAAUUAAUCUGGGGUGAGAAUUGAAAACUUGUUAAAAUUGGUGAAUAUUGUGGUAUUUUGAUUCAUUGUUGAUGUUGAACGUCGAUAGUAUCAUGUUUUAGUCUAGAAUGAAUAGGUAAACGGUAGGUUCGGGUAGGCAAAUUUAGGCAUAACGGAUUGAUGGCAUGUUUGAAAUAUGUGUUGGAAUGGUUUUGUUUUAUCGCAUUUAAUUCAAUUGUACUCAUUUGGUCGGGGAAUACCCCGAGGUACUUAUAUCUAUUCACCGGGGAAUGCCCUGACGUAUCAUGUACGCAAAAGAAGUUCAUAAUGAAGGCCCGAGACAUCGGAUAAAGCAUUGGAGUAUAGUUUAGGAUUAGUCUGAAUAGGAUUUCUAUUUUUGUAUUGUUCUAUUUUUGGACUGUAUAAUUCGGACUGGACAUUACUUUGGUUUUUUUGGAUUUUGUUUGAGUUGCUUGUUUGUUUGUCUUGUAUGUUUAUGUGGUUUAUAUAUUUUAUAAUGUCAAAUUAACCGAUACACUCCACUAAGCGACCGUGGUCGAGCCAUGGGAUCGAGGGGUGCAUAACACCUUCCCCUCGGUCAAUAGAAUUCCUUAGCCAGAAUCUCUGUUCGCAAACCAGUUUUAAAGAGUCAAAUUAUUUUGAAAAGGAUUGUCCAAAGGUGACUUGGCACACCGGAUUAUGCCAAGUGGCGACUCUGAGUUUUAAAUGUAAACGUAAUCCUUUUUUGGAAUAAAUCUUCAUUUUGUCACUUUAAUAAUAAAAACCCUUUCGAACUUAAAAAUUCAAUCUUUUUGAGAGUUAAAAAAAUGGGUGUGACACAAAUUCUAUACAGAUCAUAUAUAUAGAAAAAUAUAUUUUAUAUAAUACUUUUUUGAUUUUCUUACACAUUAUUUACAAUAAUUAUAUAAAUUUUAUAGAUUCUAUACGAUCUUUGGCUAUAAUUAUUAUUCGGAUACGUACUUUAUACAAGAACUACACAGUCCUAUACACAUUCUAUACAUACAUAUUUUAUACAACAACUAUAUAGUUUUUGUAUUCAAUCUUUUUGAGAUUUAAAAAAAGGGGUGUGACACAAAUUCUAUACAGAUCAUAUAUAUAGAAAAAUAUAUUUUAUAUAAUACUUUUUUGAUUUUCUUACACAUUAUAUACAAUAAUUAUAUAAAUUUUAUAGAUUCUAUACGAUCUUUGGCUAUAAUUAUUAUUCGGAUACGUACUUUAUACAAGAACUACAUAGUCCUAUACACAUUCUAUACAUACAUAUUUUAUACAACAACUAUAUAGUUUCUGUACAUAUUCUAUAUAUUUUUUAUCUAUAUUUUAUACAUAUACAUAUUUUAUAUAACUAUACAAUUUUUAUACAUAUAUCAUAUAUAAGUACAUUUUUAUAUAACAAUUAUACCAUUUUUAUAUAAUUAUAUUUAAUUAUUAUUUUUAACACAUUUUAUACAAUUUUCAUACAUAUAUCUUAUAUUAAUACAUAUUCUAUUUAAUAAUUAUAUGUUUUUUACAUAAUUAUAUUUAAUUAUUAUUUUUUAAAAUAAAAAAACAGAUUCUUUAGUAGUUAAAAAUUUUAUAGAAAAAAAAACUAUAAUAUUUUAAAAGAAGGUGAAAAAAUACUGAAAAUGGCCAAAAUGGCCCAACAGGAGCUGAAGCAGCCCAUGACCAUUAUAUGACAAUAGUUUACCCGACUGGUCAUUUAUUGUCAAGUAGCCCAAACAUGGGCUAUUUCUUUUGAGAGAGGCCACCCGAUGUCCUUUUUCCAAUUUUAACGUUCCUAACAACUUCGUUAGAGGAUUAGUUGAACCAUUACCUAGAUUUUUGUUUUAAAUAAAAGAUUUUCAAAAACACAUUUUAAAGCUAGUUACUUAAUUUUCCUAAAAUUAGGUGGUGUCUCUCUAAUAUUUUUUUUUUCUAAAAAUAAAAUAAAUUUUGCUAAAGUUAUGAAGGUUGUAACACAUGUUAAGUAAUUUUCUUAUGAUGAUCUUCUCUAAGUGUGACUUUUGGCACAAAUUUGAAUUAAAUAAACCUUCAAAGUGAAUAUGAGACACUAGAAGAAUUUUAAUAGCAUGUCUUUCUUUUUCUUUCUGAUUCUUUUUUUUAGAAUUGGGGUAGGAUAAGGGAAAAUAGGAAGGGUAUUACAAGGAGAGAACUAAAACCAUCACCACCAUGAUCAAAGUUUAAGUAGUCAAUCAACUGAGCUUUGGCCAAACAUAGGACUAUGAUCUCUUUCCUUUUUAAAGUGAUCACUUUCAUUAAAUAGCGUAAAAUCUUCCCCCCCCUCCCAUUUCUUAUUAUUUAUGAGAAGAAAAAUAUCACAAUACGACACUACACUUAAUAGCAAGUAUAUUGAAUAAAAUUAGCCUCUACGUGCAUUUUGUACGUCAGACAUGUAUCUUCUACAUUUUAGGCGCCUCUCAUGUGCCGUAUGUACAUCUUAUGUAUCCAUGUGCAUAACAUAUAUCUUGUGUGUCGUUCCGCUUGUACACUUGUCAAUUAGUCUCUUGUCAUUUAAACUUUUAUUUAAAUAUUCCCCAAGUUGCUACUCAGAAUUACGUUAAUAUGGUUUUAGUCAACUUUUAGAUUUUGUACUAGUUUAGUUAAAUUGUUUUAACUUUUGUACUAUUUAGGUCAAAAUUUCCAUGUCUCUAUUUUGUCCUUGUGUAUAUUAUAAUUUGUAUUGAGAUAACUCAAGUGACAAAUUAUUUAAAAACUCUUGUCUCAUGUUUUGAUGAUGACUAAUUGAUAUUGGAGGACUUGAUCCCUUGCAUAUCUUGUUCUGGUACAGUUAUCACAUCUCUACACAAUAUUUUUCACUAGUGCAACAAACUGUGCAGGUGCACAACAUACCUGAUUAGACACUUGGUCCAAUCAAAAUUCAAGCCUUAUUAUCUACACUACUAUAAAUACAAAGAGACGCCUCUUCCUUCACAAUUUUUGCAACAUUAGAGAAAUUAUUGACGGUGGAAAAAACUCUCAUAGGUCAUGUUUUGAAUUGUUACUGCUUUUAGCUAAGAAUUAUUGAGUCUUGCUUUGUAACUGAUUUACUCAAUAUAUAAGAGUAGAACUUUCUUAUUACUGUAGAGUUUCUUAGGUAGAGUUACCUAAGUAGUGUUGAUUAGAGUUAAUCGAUAUUGAGAGUGCAGGUGACAGAGUUGUCAAGAGGUGGUUGUAGUAGAGUUAUUUCAACUUGAAGAACUUAUAGUUAAGUUGAUUGGAGGCUAUAAUCAAUGAGUUUUAGUAUAGUGGAGUUUGAGAGCUUGUUAGGGAAAGACAUGUUUUUUUCCCUUGAGCAAGGAGGUUUUCACGUAAAUCUGCAUGUUUUUUUAUUUUCUACAAUCAUUGUUUUAUUGCUAUACUCAUCACAUUAGGGACCUGGUCCUUUAAUGAUGGUUCACCCACCAUGUUUUAACAAUUGGUAUUAGAGAAAGGAUACUCUAAAAGGUUAACAUCUAGAGUGAUUUUUUGAUCAUGGUUGCUCCACCUAAUCUGGUGGAAGGACAAUCCACUACUAGACCACCCCGCUUUAAUGGGCAAUACUAUGGGUAAUGAAAAACUAGGAUGUAUAUCUUUAUCAUGGCUGAUGAUAGUGAACUGAUGGAUAUGAUACUUGAUGGUCCUCAUGUUCCAGUAAGAGAGGUCAAAUAAGGAGACACACUAGAAUGAUCAUCAAAACCAGGAGAGAAUAUGAUGAAGAAGAUCGUACGAAGAUUGAAAAGAAUUUUAAGGUAAAAAAAUUAGUUAUGUGUGGAAUAGGACCUGACGAAUAUAAUUGAUUUUCUGCUUGUGAAAAUGUGAAAGAAAUCUGGGAUUGUCUGAGAAUAGCACAUGAAGGUACUACAGAUGUGAAAGAGUCCAAAAUGGAUAUGUUGACCACUCAAUAUGAAGCUUUCUCCAUGAAGAGAGGAAAAACCAUUCAAGAAAUACAUACAAGCUUUACCUUAAUCACUAAUCAGCUACACUAUUUGGGUGAGGUUAUUUCUCUGCAUAAAUAAGCAAGAAAAAUCCUAAGAGUUCUUCCCAAGUCCUAGAAAAGCAAAGUUGAUGCUAUCACUGAGGCCAGAAAUCUGAAGACACUUAUCAUGGAUGAACUGAUUAUAAAUUUAAAGACUCAUGAACUAAAAAACAACAAGGUCACAAAAAGAAGAAAGCUAAAAGAGAAAAGUCUCUAGCAUUGAAUGCCUCAAAGUUUGAGCCAAGUGAGGAGGAUAUUUAUGUUACCUACUUGGCUAAGAGUAUUGUAAGGGCUCUGAAGAAAAGUUGUCAGUUUUAAAGAAAAGGAAGCAAUAACAUGAAGGGAGGUACUAUUGAAGUAUGUCACAAGUGUGGGCAACCUGGGCAUUUCAUCAAAGAUUGCCCACUAUAUAAAAUGGAAUAUCAAGAGUAUCUAAAUUCAGGUUGAUACAAAAGAAAGAAGAAGGACCAGGUCUAUAAGAAGUCAAGAAGAAUGGUUGCGGCUGACUAUGCAGUUAAACAGGCUUUAGCAGUCUGCGGAGAUACUUUUAGUGAAUUUGAUGAAUUCAAAAAGCCUGAAGAUACUUGUAUGUUAGUAGUGGAAGACAGUGAAAUCACCUAUGAUUCAUUGUUUUCUCUCAUGGCAAAGUCAGAUGAUGAAGAAAAGAAUGAGACAACUUUUUUUGAUAUUAAGCAGAACUUAAAUAAUUAUUCCCCCAAGAAGAUAAAGAAACUUGCAAAUGUAUUGUUUGAUUUUGUGUAUGAGCUUAAUUUUGAGAGAGAAUUACUUGAAGAUAGGGUAGAAAACUUGGAACAUAAAAAACUAGCGUUAACCAUCCAAUUGUCUGAAGUAGGAAAACAAUCUUUAAAACUGAAAUUAGAAAACAAGGAUUUGAUGGAUAAACUGAAGAUAAUAGCUGAAAUUAAUGGGAAAGGUAAGAGUGAAGUCUCAAAUCAGAUGGAUCAUGAAGAAAAAUUGAAGAAUUCUCAAAAGCUUCUUAUGGCUGCUCUUCAUAAGAAUGAAGAAUCCAAAAGUGACCUGGUCCAUUGAUGUACCUUGGGAACUUAGCAUAUUCGAUGCUUAAAAUAAAUAAUUUAUGCAUAUACUAAGGCUAUUUUAAGGGAUAUGAUGUGUUUGUUGCUUAAGUGCAGGGAAUUUAGGAAGAAAGUUGCUUGGAAUGAAAAAUGAAAAAAAAAACUCUAAAUAUGUUGAAGUCUAAUCAGCUUAUGAGUCUGCCUACAAGUCGUCAAGUCACUAUAAGAAUCUUAACCUUACUUGUAACCAACAUAGUAGCAAAAGUCACAAUGAAAAAGCUAAUUAAAGAAUGACCACGACUCGUAAGGAGUGACCACGAGUCGUGAGAAGCAGUUGUAAAGAGAUCAGAAGUCAAAGGUAACAUUCAGAGGUGAAUUCAUAGAAGAACACGAGUUGUACGAUCUUAUUACGACUCAUAAUGAGAAAUCGUAAAGAGACAAAUGUUCAAUGCCCUGGAAGUCUAAGGCUCAAGUGAUGAAGAGUGAAGACCAUGAGUCUUAAGGACUGACUACGACUCAUGGUGAUGAAUCAUAUGGACAAUAAAAGCUUGAAUCCCUGAAGAUCAGUCACUAGAGAUCCUAUGAUUAGCAUCGUACAACUCGUAAGGAGACCUUACAAGUGGACCACACGAGUUGUAACGAGUGUCGACUUACUUUUCCUAUUUCAUUUUUAUUAGGAUUUCUUUAUUAUUUUGAGAUACUAUAAAUACCUUAGAGUUAUUCCUUUAUUAGGUUACACACUUUCACAUUACUUUUGAUACUUUUAACAUACUUUGAUCAUUGAGAUUUUGUUCUUGAAAUUUUGGGUUUUUAUUCAAUUGAAGACAUUGGGUUUUCUCUCUUUCUUUAUUAUGCUAUUUAUUGCAUCUGUUCUUUAUUGAUUGUCAUGUAUUGUUUCAUGAAUAUGAGUGGCUAAUUUUCUUGACUAAGGUUGUGGGAACUAUGGCUAAUUAGCUAUGUAAGGGAAGUAAGAGACUCAUCCAUUCAACUGUUAUUACAUAUAUUGUAAUCUUCAUCGUAUUUAUUGAACCCAAGCUGCUGCAGAGGCUUGAGGACUUCCUGUAUUUGAGAACGUCCUUACAAGGGAGUUUAAGAUUUGUAAAAGGAGAUUACAACAGUGAUUUGAGGCUUCCAAACCUCAUCUAAUUAACUCGAGACUCAAAAGGUGAGAGUUGUACUGAGGUUAAAGACAAGGGAUAACAAGGCAACACCUUGAGACUCAUAAGGUAAAGGGUAAAAUCUGUUAAUACAUUCACAUGACGAUCGAUAUUACAUAACUUGUCAACUUUGCAUGCAGAGUAGGAGGGUAGGUGAACUGAGUAUGAGUCUUACGUAGUCGAGAAUCUAGGGGUAACACAAUCCUAGUGUUUGUCUUCUAUUGCUUACAUACUCAAGCAUUCAAGUUCUAUUGCUUGUUACUUUAGACUUAAAAUUCCCCCCAUUUACUUUUCUGCAUUGCUCGUGAAUUUUGUCAAGUUUGAGAUACUAUUCAAUAUUUUUCCUGUGGGUUCGACCCCAACCUGGUUUGGGUUAAUAUAUUUGACAUCGAUCGAAGCAUACUUCUUUGAAGUCAGUUUUGGGCGACAUCAAUUUUUAUGUCUAAAAGAAGAUCUCAAUAAAUUUCUAAAAUGGGCCACAUCUUUAAAGAUCCUUACUAAUAUAACUAGUCAUGGGAUUAAUAAUGGUAGAGUUCUUGGGUAUUAGUAUAACACCUACAACUCUAAGGCCCAAGGCAAGUAUAUUUUUGUUGCCAAAACAAAGCCAACAAUUCUCUAUUCACUCACUGUGGUAGGCAUAGCCACUUGAAGGAGAAAUGAAAGGGCUGGCUUAAAGUUAAAAUGAACACUACUAAAUAUGUUCAAUUGAAGCAAUCCUUCAACAAAGGAACAAAUUGUUUGACGACUUUUAAGAAGACCAAAUUACCUAGUUGGACCAAGAAAAAUUUGAUCACUGCUUCGUAUUUUCUUGGGAACUCAAACUCUAGUGGGAUACCAAAUCUAAAAAAUGAACUCUGUAUGCAGGUAGGAGUAGGAGAAGGUAGUCAAAACUGGUUCAUGGAUAGUGGAUGCUCUAACCAUAUGACUAAUAAAGAUGAAAACUCUCUCUCACUCAAGGCACUUUAAGGUGGAGAUGUCUCUUUUGGAAAUGAAAAGAAAGGUUACAUUUAUGGUCUUGGAAAGAUAGGGAAAUCCUUAAAUCAUGAUAUUAAGGAUGUUUAUUAUGUGAAUGGUUUAAAGUACAAUUUUAUGAGUUUUUGUCAAAUCCGUGACAAAGGAAAUAAGGUGAAGUUCUUAUCUGAUGGAUGCACUGUGUUAAAUUUAAAGUUUGGGAAAGUCAUUCUCAAAUAUAAAAGGUGCAAGGACAUGUAUGUGGCUGAUCUAGAAUCUGUAGCUAACUGUGAAUUGACCUGCUUAAGUGCUCAAAGUAAAAAUGCUGACUUGUGGCACAGAAGGCUGGGAUAUGUAAGAUUUUCUUUACUAAAAAAAUUGAUCUCAAAGGACCUGGUCCGUGGUGUUCCAAAGCUGCAUUUUUCAGCUAACAAGGUUUGUGAUGCAUGUGUCAAGGAAAAAUAAACCAAAUUUUUUUUUUAAGAAAAAGAAGCAAGUAAGCACUUUUAGACCCCUUGAGUUAUUGCACAUGGAUUUAUAUGGACCAGUUAAUGUCCAAAGUAUAGGUGGGAAGAGGUAUGUUUUGUUAUUGAGGAUGACUAUUCUAGAUCACCUAAAUAAUGUUCUUAAGAACUAAGGAUGAAACUUAUGAUGUUUUGGUGGUCUUUGCCAAGGAAAUUCAGAUGAAGAUAACUGCAUUGUAGGAUUUAGAUCUGAUCAUGGAACUGACUCUGAAAACUCCCAAGUUGAAGGAUUCUGUGCUGAAAAUAGCACCAGUCAUAAUUUUUCUGCUCCUAGAACUCCUCAACAAAAUAGAGUAGUUGAAAGAAAGAAUAGAACUCUCAUAUAAAUUGCCAGGACUAUGCUGAUUGACAGUGGUCUGCCAAAAAACUUUUGGUCUGAAACUGUCAACACUGCCUGUUAUGUGAUAAAUAGAUGCUUGAUCAGAUCUCUCUUGAACAAAGCUCCAUAUGAACUUGUGUUUAGUAAAAAUCCUAAGCUUGGUUAUUUUAGGCCCUUUGGGUGCAAAUAUUUUGUUCUAAACAAUGAAAAUAAUGAACUUGAGAAAUUUGACUCUAAAAAUGAUGAAAUUGCAGGUAUAUAUAUAUAUAUAUAUAUAUAUAUAUAUAUUUGGACAAGUUUAGGAUUUUUACAGAGUUUUCAACAAAAGGACUCUGUGUGUAGAUGAAAAUGUAUAUGUAGUCUUUGAUGAAUCAAUAAUGCAAAAAGAUUCUAACUGGAGGUAUAGACUCUGACAUGGAAGAACUUAUUCCUAUUCAACGGGAUGGCAUAACUAAAAUUGGAGUUCAAGAACAAAAGGAUACAGUUGAAUAUGAUGAAGGUGAUGGUGAAUCAGGUCCUCAGUUGCUGACCAAAUGCAAGAGGAACAUCAAGAAGAACCUAUUUAAAACUCUCAAGGACCUAGUCCCAGUAGACCAUAGUAAAAA